AUGUAUUUUUCUUUUAUUCUUCUCAUUUAUGUUGCCGGUGUUGCGGUAAAAGAAAGUUGUGCAGAUUUGGUUCCCACUCCCACUAUUGUAUUUUCCCCUGGGUACAUCAAUAUAGCUACACCUGCUACAGUACGAUGUGAGUCACCAAAAGGCACAGAGUGCAAAUUCUACAAAGAUCAUGACCCCAACCCUAUAAGGAAACUGGAUUACAAGCAGGGUGCUUGCCAGUUCAAGUUGCUCUGGAAUGAGUUCAAAAGGUGGAACAAGACUGAAGUAGAUCUCAGCUGUGUAAUUCUACAGAACAGAGAAGGUGAAACGAUCAAAACCUCAAAACCUAGUGAUGCUCGAAGACUUAAUGUGGGUGAUCCAAUUGGAAAGCCCAUUGUUCAGGUGUUGAAGAUUGGGAAUUACCUCAAUCUUCGAUGUGAGGCCAAGGCUGGCACCUCAUGCUACUUUUAUCUGAACAAUGGUGACUCACACUUUAAAAAACGACCCUACAAAGACAAUGUCUGUGUGGGGAGAGUGGCAGAAGAGGAACUGCAGAGGAAGAGGAGCAGUGCUGGAGAGAUCUUCAUCACCUGUGCUGUGGAGCUGGUGGUAGAGGGUGAAGAUACUGUGACAUCACAGCAUAGUGAACCCCUCGGUAUCACCAUAGAUGGAGCUACUAGUUCCCCAUCAACGUUCAGUUUACCUGUUCAGAAUGAGAAAAGCAACGAUACCACAGCCCAAGGAAGAGGUCCAGGGUUCCUCGUCGUCAUCAGUCUGGGUGCUGGUUCCCUUUUCCUGAUUCUGCUAGCUGGGUCUGUGCUGUGUGUUCUCCAACGCAAGUGUGGGGUUCAAGGCAGGCCUGUAAAUACUGGAAGCCCACCUGAACAGCAAGACCAAACCCCACCUUGUGUCUAUUCUGUCAUCACAAAGCCUUCUAGGGAUGAGGAAGAGGACACUAGUCUGCAAUACGCUACAGUGACAUAUACCGGUGACCAAGCUAGUCGUCAAUAUGCAACAGUGACAUCUACCGGUAACCAAGUUGGACCUGGGCGCACCAAGAUCAAGUUUGAAAUAGCUGGAGAGUACGCCCUCUUAGCAGAAUCAUAG
rnacentral:lncRNA from 1 species